UUAAACCUUUACAAAGCUCAUCAAAACAAAAAUGAUCAAAGCCCUAAAAGCAUACUGUAUAAAAUAUAAAAGCAGCCUGGAACAGCAGCAUACCACAUAAAACACCAAGUCCAUUUCCGAGCUGGAUCAUAAACCAGGGUGGAGCACUGUAGGAGCACUGAGUAACAGAAAGCACCAAGGACCUUAUUCCCAUCUGACUGACUACCUCACCCAAAGCCCCAGGUGAUGUACUGGGACUUACAGACAGAGCAUGGAGGGAGUUGGGAUUUGCUGAGCGACACAGACUUCUCUGGACACUUGCCUCGGGGUUCUAAGACUCCCCAUGAACCUUGCUUCUCGCUUUAUCAAACUUUGGGACUACUACAAUUCUCUGGUUUGUGUAGCUUAAACGUUUUUAUAUGGUAGGCUUCAUUCUAAAGCAAAUCUCUGCCAAAUAAAGACAGCACUGUUUAUACAGCAUUGUCUUACCGCUUAAACCU
rnacentral:lncRNA from 1 species